CCUCUGCCUCCCAGGUUCAAGCGAUUCUUCUGUCUUAGCCUCCCAAAUAGCUGAGAUUACAGGCAUGUGCCAUUACGCCUGGCUAAUUUUCGUAUUUUAGGAGAGAAGGCAUUUCACCAUGUUGGCCAGUCUGGUCUUGAACUCCUGACCUCAAGUAAUUUCCCCCACCCCACCUCCCAAAGUGCUGGGAUUACAGUUGUGAGCCACUGCACCCAGCUGUCUUGUCAGUUCAUAUGAUAUGCAGCACUCUUUUUUACUAUGUGUACAGUGUCCCCUUGUAUUGUCCCCUUAUAUGAGUUCAUCUGUUGGUGAGCUUUCCAUCUCCCUUUCCCCAGCAAAAGUCCUCCACCCAGGGCAGUGCCAGGAGACAGCAUUGAGAACAGAUCAGCCUUUCAACAUCUGGAGCAGAGGGAAUAGACAUUUUAGUUGUUUUCCAUUUCUUAAUAUUAUACCUUGGUAAACAUGCAGAGACUUAGACCCUUGCACCCAUGCCUGGUAAUAAAAAUCCUAACAGUUGGGUCUUAGGCAGGAUUCUCUAGAAGCCCAGGCUGAGACAGGGACUUGGGUGUGAGUGAUUUGCUGAGGGACUGUUCUCAGGAGGAAGAGCGGGAGGGAAACGGGAUGAGGAAGGGGCCAAGCAAAGAGGUCCCAAAGUCUAGCUGUGGCCUGAUAGGAGCAUCAUCACACUAGCAGAGAUGUCCUUUUUGGGACAAAGCAAUGGGGCUUUUGUACUGUCAAUCAUUAAUCUUGUAAUCCCAGGCCUCUUGGGACCUUCAGCUAAAAGGAUUUCUGUAGUAGGUGGUGGUUGUGAGCUGUUAGCCCAGCUUUCAGGGCAGCCGGCAGUGGAGGCAGCCUCUAGCACAGAGGAUGGGGUAUCGCUGCAAGUGCUCAUAACCUGUGGUCCUGUCUUUAGGCCUGGUGCUAUGCUAAGUACAUAAAUGCAGUUCUAACAGUCCUAUGAUUUAGAGGCUUUUUUUUUAUCUCCACUUCACAGGUGAUAAAGAUAAGUAACUUUCCCAGGGUCCCCCAGCUAGCAAGGGGUGGGUGGGAUUGUAAGACACACUCAGGUCUGUCCAGUACUAAAGCUCGAGUCCUUACAUUGGCAGGCCGUAAGAAUGUAAAGUUUAAUUCCUAGAAGCUGAAUUGGUGGACCAGGGAGAGAUCCAUAUUUAUCCAAGUUUCUCUCCCUACCCCUUCCCCAAGUUAUGUCAACUUAGAUGUCCUGUGUUGUUAUAUUUGACCAUUCUCCUGUCAUCUCUGGGUGUUGGCAGUCUUUUAAGUAUCUGCUAAUCGAACAAAUAGAGAUUUUUUGGGCUUGAUUUUCCUUAUUUUUGCAAUUGCUGAGGUAGACACCCUUGCCCAUGUGGAUUGGCCACCUGUAUUCUUCUCUUAAGGCCCAGUUUUUAGUCCAAUGGCCUUGGCUCUUUUUUUUUUUUUUUUUUGAGACCAAGUCUCACUCUGUCCCCCAGGCUGGAGUGCAGUAAUGCACUCCACUGCAACCUCCACCUCCCAGAUUCAAGCGAUUCUCGUUCCUCAGCCUCCCGAAUAGCUGGGAUUACAGGCGCCUGCCAUCAUACCCAGCUAACUUUUGUAUUUUUAGUAGAGAUGGGGUUUUACCAUGUUGGCCAAGCUGCUCUCUAACUUCUGACCUCAAAUGAUCCGCCUGUCUUAGCCUCCCCAAGUGCUGGCAUUACAGGCGUAAGCCACCGUGCUCGGCUGGCCCUCAUGCACUUUUGAUGGUUCUUUGCAUCCGGGUUUAAAUUGUCCAAAUCUCUUCUGUGGACUUGAAUGCUGCAUUUAUAGUACACUUGUUUUGCACCAGUGCUUUGAUCUAUUUCUAGACUUUCACUGAGUUAGCUGUCUAGUUUUAUGCUAGGAUCCUAUCUUUUUAAUUACCAUACACCUUACCAAUUAAAACAUUUUUUUGUUGUUGUUGUUUUUGAGAAGGAGUCUCACCCUGUUGCUCAGGCUGGAGUGCAAUGACGUGAUCUUGGCUCACUGCAACCUCCACCUCCCAGGUUCAAGUGAUUCUCCUGCCUCAGCGUCCAGAGUAGCUGGGAUUACAGGCACUUGCUACCAUACCUGGCUAAUUUUUUGUAUUUUUAGUAGAGGUGGGAUUUCACCACAUUGGCCAGGCUGGUCUCAAACUCCUGACCUCGUGAUCCACCCACCUCAGCCUCCCAAAGUGCUGGGAUUAUAGGCGUGCGCCACUGCACCCAGCUCCAUACACCUUAUUUUUUAAAAGAUAUAAAGUAUUUUCAAAGAUAUCCUUUAAAAGAUAUAUGGAUUUUUCUAUUCUUUCCUUUUUUUUAAAAAAAGAUGGAGUUUCGCUCUUGUUGCCCAGGCUGGAGUGCAGUGGUACAAUCUUGGCUUGCUGCAACCUCUACUACCCAGGUUCAGAUGAUUCUCCAGCCUCAGCCUCCUAAGUAGAUGGGAUUACAGGCAUGCACCAACACACCCAACUACUUUUGUAGUUUUAAUAGAGAUGGGGUUUAUUCCUAUUGAUCAGGCUGGUCUCGAACUCCUGACUACAGGUGAUCCACCUGCCUUGGCUUCCCAAAGUGCUGGGAUUAUAGCCAUGAGCCACCAUGCCUGGCUAUAAGAUACAAGGAUAUUUUUCAUGUCAACUAGAUGCUAACUACAGGGUUGCCAAGCGUAGAAUACCGAUAGGCCAUCCUGCCCCAAAUAAGACUAGGUAAGGCUCUUUUAUUGGCAGUUAGUGACGGUGUGUAUGCCCAAUGCCAGCAGGUACUUUUCUUAAGCAGAAUCUCUGUUUCUGUUUCUGUCUUCAUCCUUGUCUAUAAUAAUUCCAUUUGCUUGGCAGACCCUUUCCUUAAAGGCAGUGGGAGAGGUAACCUUGAGCUUUGUCUCCAGUUGGAAUUCAUCAUCAGUGGAUUAGCUAGUAGUUGUCUUUGCAGCUGAGAGAAAGUUGACUCAAAGUGGCUUUCGUGCACAUGAACAUCAGUUAGCUUUAUCCAAGUGGAAAGUCCAGGAAUAGGUCUAACUUCAGACAGUCAUGAAGCCAUAACUUCAUGGCUCUAAGUCAGCAGAGCCAGUCUUUCUAUCCUUCAGAAUCUCUUCUCUGUUGGCCUGGUUCUCAGGCACACUGUCACCUCAUAGAGGCAGGAUGGCUAACCCAUCCCGUAUGAAUUCAAAUCCAGUGGAAAAAGAGAUCUCCUCCCACAAAAUUCAGACCUGCCUGCUGUUGACCUAAAAACAUAUCCCCCUUCACCUAAGCUGUUAAUUGUAGCAGAGGACAGUGUAUGUUUUUUGACUUGUGGUCUUAUGCUUGCCCUGCAUUAGGGUGCUGGCACCCAGGGGAAGUCAUAGAACUGUUGCUGGAGGAAUGGGUGCUCACUGGCCAGGAGCCUCAGUCACUGCCCCCACCCCCACAUGGGUAGGAUGGCACUUAGCGACAUUUUAUUUUGACACUGGGGAGAGUUCAAACUGUCAGGCUUAGAUACAAAAUUGUUUUUAGAGAUCUGGGCUUACCCAGUUCUGGUGACUUAAGGAAGCCGAAAUUCCUCUUUUAGGUAGGUCUGUGACUGUGGACUGAGAGGCCCAGGAAGCCAAGGCCAUCGGUCACUCUUGGCAGAGCUUAGUUGGGUUUUCAUUACUAAGUGAGAUUCUUUUUAAUGAGUGAGGUGAGGUUUAACCCUGCCAUUUUCAGUAAUAAACCAGAAAAUGUUCCGCUGCACUUCUGUGGGAUUCCGCUGUAGAGGCUGGGCCUCUGCUGGCUGUGGAAGGGUUAAACCGCACACCUGGAGGGCAGAGAGCAGACUCCAGAGACCCUCCCUUGGCUAAAGAUCUCUCCUCAGCCUCUGCUUUGGUUUUGCUGUUACUCCAGUGGUUAGCUACACCCAGAGAAUGCAGGCUUUAGAUGCCUCUUCUUUGCUUAAAGCAUAGACUUUCCUGUGAAAUCCGCGCCCCCCCCCCCGUUUCUUGUUUAUAAAUUUUUAAUUCUAAUACCAGGAGGCCACCCGUGUCAUGGAAACAGCAGUGACCUGGUUUCCAGGUGCCCCUCUGCGCCUGCCCAGUGUGUAACUGUGGGUGAGUCCCAGAACACCCGCCCCCCCCACCCCGAUCCCGAUCUCUCUGUUCCGAUGGGUAAAGAGAAGCAGUGGCACGUGAGGACUCAUGGAGGCAUAGAAAUGGGGUCCUAGGAUAUUAAUCCAAAGUGGCCGCAGGGCACACUGCAUCCAGCUGUCACACUUAACAGAGGAGAGGCCUUAGAGACUUUGAAUGGCCUGUAAGGGUUGAAGGGAGACCCUCAAACCUGGUGUAUCAUGGUUUGGAUUUCUGAAUAUAAGGAGCAUUUAAACUACCACAAGAAGAAACAAAAAACAAAACAAAGACAGUUUCGUAGUCGUCAAGGAAAUCCCGUACCUAGGCCAGGGACCACCGUGGGAACUAGUGCCUGGAACCGGAGAGCCCCCCAGCAUGCAAGAGCUCUCCCAGGGGCUUCAGAUACCUGCUCCUCUGUCCUCUGCGUCCUCCUCUGUCUGUGCUCCUUGAGCCUCUGCAGGAGCUAGGCUCCCCUGCUGCGCUUCCAGGUCCUUCACUGCCUCCUUACGUUUGUUCAUGGUGCGUUAAAUCUGCUCAGGCUACAGCCGCCUUCUGGCCUCCUAGUAGCUUCUCCUUUCCCUACCUCCUCCUUAAAGAGUCUAUUCUUUGCUGGGCACAGUGGCUCACACCUGUAAGCCCAACACUUUGGGAGGCCGAGGCGGGUGGAUCACCAGGUUAGGAGUUUGAGACCAGCCUGGCCAACAUGAUAAAACCCUGUCUCUGCUAAAAAUACAAAAAUAAAAUAAAAUUAGCCGGGUGUGCUGAGGGGUACUUGUAAUCCCAGCUACUUGGGAGGCUGAGGAAGGAGAAUCGCUUGAACCAGCAGGUGGAGAUUGCAGUGAGCCAAGAUCGCAUCACUGCACUCCAGCCUGGGCAAAAGAGUGAAACUUCGUCUCAAAAAAAAAAAAAAAAAAAAGAGUCUAUUCGUUUAAUUCUAGUCUAGUCUUGGGGACUCUGAAUGACUCAGCUUCUCCUUUUGAGCCAGGCCAAGUAGGCCAUAGGUUACUUGAACUCUUGUGUCCAGUUCUAGGGCCAGAUUCCACUUCUUCCCAGUUGUCCUUGACCACAGAUGGGGGCUCAGGUGUUAUAAGGACAGUGUGGGCCUGAAGCUCCCAAAGACCUGUGAGUUCACCGGCAAGUGAACUUCAUUCACAGAAUAGCACUUUCACCAGGUACAGCCUGAAGACACGGGGGUUAUUUUCAGAGUAGACUAGGGGCCCAGAGUGGCAGUAGCAAGGUGUGCCUCUGCACAGAAUGGUGCAGGAAUCCCCAACAAAUUCCAGAAAAUUCCAGCUCAUUUUAGGAGUGCUAAUUCUAUCCUGUAGGAUUAAGGGCAGGAAUAUACAACUUUGAAAUUUUUCUUUACUUUUUUGUUUUGUUUGUUUUGAGACAGGGUCUCACUCUGUCACCCAGGCUGGAGUGCAGUGGUACGAUCUCGGCUCACUGCAGCCUCGCCUCCCAGGUUCAAGUGAUUCUCAUGCUUCAGCCUCCAGAGUAGCUGGGAUUACAGGCGUUGCCACCGUGCCUGGCUAUUUUUUGUAUUUUUGGUAGAGACAGGGUUUCAUCAUGUUAGGCUGUUCUCGAAUUCCUGACCCCAGAUAAUCCGCCCACCUUGGUCUCCCAAAAUGCCAGGAUUACAGGUGUGAGCUACCGCGCCCAGCCUAAUUUUGAUGUAAUUUUUAUGCUCUUCUAAAAAUGCAUAUACUGACAAAACUUGAAGCUCUUCCUUCUCCUUUUUAUGUCAGUGCAGAGUGUACAAAAGUUCCCUAUAUCGGGCACACAUUUAAAUUUUGGCUAACAGAUACUACUUUAGGAUUUACUUAGGAGUGAUUCUGAAAGGUUGAAAAUGAUACUUUUUCUAAGCUUUGGUUGAGGUUGGGAUUGGGAAGGAUGGUUCCUCUCACCAGGGUUAUGCAAAAACUAUGGGUUGUAAUAUGAUGCAAAACACAUGUCCACCAAGAAUAAGCAGAGAUGCAGGCGGCCAGUGAGCUUUAAGAAAUACUGUGGGUUGGUAAAUGGAGAGCCCAAGGGAGAAUGUAGCAAAAGCAAAGGGACCUUUGGUGUUUCUGACUUUCGAGAGAGCAUGUCCAAAUUUUCAUCUGCAUCAGCACUUUUCUAACAAAGUUCCAGGCUCUCCAGCAUUAUCUGGUGGGCGGCCUUAUUUACACAUAAAAUAUAAUUGAUUCCAUAUUCCUCUCAGACCUACAAACAGUACCAGUGUUUGUUUUUAAUAACCAGAAUUAUUUCAGCUUAAAAAAAGGUGUAGAUUUACAUAGACAGUCUGAUGAGUGCCUCAGAUUGUUCCAUUAAUAACACAGAGGAGAAACAAUCUAAGAAAAACAUUUUGAGUUUGUGUGCGGAGAUGGAGAGAGGGUUGGGUUAGUGAAAUCAGAAAGCUUCCAAGUUAUGAUUAUUAAAUUUAAUAAUUACAUUAGCAUUCCACAGGAACUGUUUUCUGGAAAUUUUGGUAAUGCAGCCACUGAAUAAAACACACUCAGGCAACCUAGGCUUCAGGCCAUUGGGUGGGAAAUGGCUUAUUUGCUUUGUUUUGAUCAUGUUUAAAGUUAAUCCCAAAUCAAUUUCUUUUUCAAGAACUAGAAUGUCACCAGUCUGUCUUCCACUUAAGGCUUCUGCAAACUUUUUCUAUAAAGGGUCAUAUAGUAACUAUUUAGCACAAAGUAGACAUAUACAUAAACAAAUCAGUGUGCUGUGUCCCAAUAAAAUUUUAUUUAUGGCACUGAAGUUUGAAUUUCAUAUAAUUUUCACUUGUCAGGAAAUACUAUUCUUCUUUGAAUGCUUUCUCCCCCCAACCAUUACAAAAUGCAAAAGCCAUACUCAGCUUCCAGCGAGUACAGUUUGGUUCAUCAUUUGCUAACCCUGUUCUAGUUUUGACUUUGUCUUUGUAGUUAGAAUUUUUUCUUUUGGGGAGAAAACUCUACUUUGCAUAUGAAAGAGAACCAAAAUAUGUAUGACUGUGUCUGUGUGUAUCUCUGUGUGUGUCUAUGUGUGUAUAUGUGUGUGUGUGUGUAUGUCUGUGUGUGAGUGGGUGUGUGUCUCUGUGUGUGUGUCUGUGUGUGUUGAGCUUUUCUGUUUCUUCAGCUCCUCUCAGGGAUGAAGCAGGGUCUCUAGACAUUAGAACUACGGUUGUUUGAGAUUUUGCCACCAACAGUUUAGUGCUGCUGGCAAGAAGGCUAGCCUCGGGAGCUACAAAACUCUCUCCACACAGGGAGUUCUGAGGGACUCUUGAAACAGAAGGAAUGAGAAUGCAGACAAAGGCAGAAACUUGAGAGGAAAGCUGCUGAGCAUUAUAUGCACAUAUCUCUGUAAGGGCUGUGGAACUGGUGGUGGUGUCCUCAUCAUUUCUUUGCAAAUGUGUAUGUAUUUUAAAAGGCUUAGGUCUCUCAGCUGCUUCUUUUUUUUUUUUUGAGAUGGAGUCUCCCUAUGUCUCCAGGCUGGAGUGCAGUGGGGUGAUCUAGGCUCACUGCAACCUCUGCCUCCUGGAUUCAAGCGAUUCUCCUGCCUCAGCCUCCUGAGUAGCUGGGACUAUAGGCACACCUCACCACACCCAGCAAAUUUUUGUAUUUUUAGUAGAAAUGGGGUUUCACCACAUUGGCCAGGAUGGUCUUGAACUCCUGACCUUGUGAUCUGCCUGCCUUGGCCUCCCAAAGUGCUGGGAUUAUAGUCAUGAGCCAUUGUGCCCGGCCUUAUCCUUACUCUUAGAGAAGUAGGCAAAAGACAUGCUUCUACAAAUUAUAAACACCUGGUUUUGUUUAGUAUCCUCUUGAGGGAAAUUAGGAAAGUGGCAGAAACAAUACACUGCAGACAUAUGCAUUGUGUUUAGUUACAUUCGUUUAGUAAGAAUCAUUCUUAUUAGGACACCUCCCAAAUCCUUCAUACAUAUCAAGCUUUUAAAUAUUUGUCCCCUUAGGUUGGGCACAGUGGCUGAUGCCUGUAAUCCCAGCCCUUUGGAAGUCCAAGGCGGGUGGAUCACAAGGUCAGGAGUUCAAGACCAGCCUGGCCCACAUAGUGAAACCCUGUCUCUACUAAAAAUACAAAAAAAUUUAGCCAGAUAUGGUGGUACAUGCCUGUAAUCCCAGCUACUUGAGAGGCUGAGACAGGAGAAUCACUUGAACCCGGGAGGUAGAGGUUACAGUGAGCCAAGAUCAUGUCACUGCACUCCAGCCUGGGCAACAGAGCAAGAUUCUGUCUCAGAAAAAAAUUUUUUUUAAUUUAAAAUAAAUUCAAAAAAAUUUGACCCCUUUUGUAAUUAGCGUAGAUUUAGCAGUGGCUUUUCCUGAUUUGGGAGGAAGCAUGCUUGAUGGUUGCCUGGUAACAGCUAAUCAUGGGAUUGGGGCCAACAAAUAGUUGGCAGAAACCGUCAAUUCUUUUGUCUUGUUAACAAAAAGUGAUCGGUAAAGAUACAGCCUCUGAAGUCUAUUCUGUUGUUCAGACAUAUAACUUAAGUGAUAAAUUCCCAUGCUCAUAUAACUUCAAUGUGCUGCUGAAAUUUAUAGCUUGUUUAGAUGAACCUGCUUACUUGGUACUUGGGUCACAUGUCAUCUGCUUACGCUACUGAGGCUCAUUGGGUAGGACAGUGAUGUCACAGAGGCUUCGUUUUCUCAAGGGCUCUUAAGAAUCUCAAAUUUUUGUUGAAUGAUGUUGAUGAAAUGUACAUGAAGCUCCAGCAUAAAUGUCCGAAGUCAGAGGUUUCUGGUUCUUAAGCAGGAGCCACAAGUUCACCAUCGAUGACCUCAGUUCCCAUCUCCCAGUGGCCCUCAGUGGGGACAGACAACAGCACCCAGCCUGUGUGAUCAGUCCUGCUGCAGGCCAGCCUCUCCUCUUGUCCCCUCCAGAUCAGCUGGGGCUCAGUGUAAGUUUUCUAGGACAACUUCAUAAAAUGAAUUCUCAUUUCAUAAGCAAAUACAGUGUGAGUCAUGCUUUGGCCACAUAGAAUUAAGAAGGAAGAAAAAACACUAUUUAUUUGGUUGGUGCUUUUUUUUUUUUUUUUUUUAAAGUAACUACAGUGUAUUCCGUAUUUGUUCCCAGAUAAUUGUCAGCUUUCCCUCCUCUGGUUAUAUGUUUUUAAAGGAUGUUGUCUAUUAGGGGUCAGGGUCACCCACUCUACCAGGCACUUUGGUGUGUAUUUUCUCUCUUAACUCCCAGCUCUGUGCAGAACGUUUGGGAGACACCAGUGCUAAAGCCAAGUCUUACGGGGGCCAGACGGGGAGGAACCGGGUUGAACGCCUAUUUUUUUCUGGGUUUUAAGCCCAUACUCUGCUUUAUCCUUGGUUUUGGGCCCAGUUUUCAGAACACAUCCAGAUCAUCCAUUUGCCCAGCAAACCAACAUAAGGUGUCAGAUGAGUGGCCAAGAUGUUCAAUGUAUUUCAUCCUUUGUUUCCUUGAUUUCUACAAAACCAGCCCUUAGAUAUUUUUAAUAGGAUUUUUAAAAAGCACCCCUUGUUGUGUAAGUUCUCCUCUCUGUGAUCUUUGUCACCUCUCCUGCCCACACCUCCAGCAUAGUCAGAAAUCUCACGUCUCAGCAAGUGUCUCUCUCCUGCCUUCAUUGAAGUUCUGCUCACUGUCACUUUCCCCUUCAAACUGGACAUUGUGGAUUUUCCCUGCUAACCUCAUCACCCUUCCCUGGGCUCCAGCUCAGCAUAAGGAAAUGUUGUCAGCAGAGGCUGCAAACCCAAGCCUGUCCCUUUUCAGUCGUAUUUUUACUACGAGCUGAACUACUUCAGCGUCAUGUAAACACACUGGAGUAUGUUAACAGCUGCCUCUCUUUUAAAGUUGAACCAGUUCAGAACUAAAAGGGGAACUGCUUUCAGGUUCUGUUCAAGUUUGCAUGUGACAGCAUCAAAGCUAUUUUUAGCAGAGUGAUCACCGGCAAGAAGCUGGAAACGGCUGCUUUCAACUAUCAACAGUGGAAAGAAAGGAUCAUUUGUGCACUGCUGCAGCUCUUGAGUCCAUUUACAUGGGAGACACAGGGGUGUGUAAAUCUCUCCUUCAAAGUUAUAAGGCGUCUUAUCCCUGUUCAGACCCCCAUCACCUUGCAGAGACAGGGUAGUGUUCAUUUAGUGCUUGGUUGCCUGGGCCCCAAGUUAAAGUAGAUACACGGAUGUUGGUGAAUUACAGGACUGUCCUAAGUGUCUGUUCUGAAAAAAAGGUGAUGUAUAGAUGCUCAGAAACAUCCACUAAAUUUUUGAAGUGUUUCUAUUGUUUCUUCAGUUUUCCUUUUCUUUCCUGUAGGUCACCAAACUCAAGAGACAGCAGGAAGUGGGAGGUGGUUAUGUAAGCAUCAUGGCAAUGAAGAGAGCAUGAGUCACUUACUAGCCAUGCGCCCCUCAUUAAGCGACUUUGCCUCAUUAAGCGACUUUGCCUUUCUGAAUUAAGUGUUCUUAGCUGCAAAAUGAGGAUCACAGUGCCAGCCCUAUAUACUUGAUAGGGCUAGGUUUUUUUAGCAGCUGUUUGUUGAACACCUACUCCAUGCUACUGGGGAUAUCAGCUGAAUCAGAUAGUCAGUGUCUUCAGAGAACUCACAGUCCAGCUCCAUAAAUAAAUAACUUACAAUACUGCAGGUUGCGUGGAAAGGAGACUGCCUAAGACAUAGGAUCUGCUCUGGGCAUGGAGGGAGACAGGAAGAAGACAGGAGGAGCAGUAUUUUCAAGACCGCGUUAAGAGUUUGCAAAAAAAGACAAGGGAGAGAGGGACAUUCCGAGCUGGAGCAACUGAGUGAGCAGUGACAGAGGUCAGAGGUGUUCUGGUGUCUCCAGGGGACCAUGAGCAACUUGGUAUUGUCAGAGCAGAAAAACUACAAGACGGGAUGGCAGGAGAAGCUGGAGCAAGUGAAGCCAAUUGUGCUAAAGAACAUGGAAGAGGGCUGGGUGUGUUGGCUUAUACCUGUAAUCCCAGCACUUUGGGAAGCCGAGGCGGGUGGAUCAUGAACUAAGGAGUUCAAAACCACCCUGGCCAAUAUGGUGAAACCACCCCAUCACUACUAAAAAUAUAAAAAAUUAGCUGGGCAUGGUGGCACGCACCUAUAGUCCCAGCUACUCAGGGGGCUGAGGCAGAAGAAUCACUUGAACCUGGGAGGCGGAGGUUGUAGUGAGCCGAGAUCCAGUCACUGCAUUCCAGCCUGGGCAACAGAGCGAGAUUUCAUCUAAAACAAAACAAAAUAAAACAAAACAAAAAAACCACAGAAGUGGCACAGGUCACAGGGGGCCAGGAGUCAUUUUGAGCACAUGAUUACCUGGAUCAUACACAAAUUAAAGUGGAGUCAUUGCUAGCAAAAGUCCCUGCGUAUGUUUAUAUGAAGUAUAUAACAGGUAGCAGUUUAGUGCCAGCAAAGCAUGCCCUACACAUAAAGUGUCCUCCAGGAAAGGCUAAGCUGGAGAGCAGUUUUGAAACUUGGUGGCCUGUGACUCCUUUGAACAUUGCCUUUGAAGAGGCUGGAGGGGGACAGGGAAGGGCAGAUGAAAGGUAGAGAAGUAGCAUACCGUCUCAGACCCUGUUGGUACUGGGCUCUGCAAGUGGCUUUGUAGGAUAAGUCACAUCCUUCAGGAGCUUUCAGGCCAGGUAGGAUUGAUGAGGAAGGUGCACGCCUUGGCAGCGGUGUGUGGCCUGUGUGUGGUCAGGGGACUUGCACAGGUGAGCCUCAUGACCCAGCACCAAGAAUCACAGUCCGUGCAUGUAAGUCAGUUUCCUCCAAAGGUUUCAGGAGACUAAGGUUUUUCGGGUGAUGUUUAAAGCUGCAAUUAUGUGGUCAUUCUUACAUGCCAUGGGAAUUCAAAGAAGAGGCAAGCACAGAACAAAGUAAACCACAGCAAAACCCUCUCUGACAAUCCUCCUUAACCGUUUAUACCCAGGAAGAAAGGCGCUGAGAAGGACAGUGUGUGCCACAUUUUGCAAAGCUCUGUGGACACACCCUCAUAGUUACAUAAAUAUGGCCAAGAAAUGACAAUACUUUUUUGAAACUAUAUUCCCUCUGAGUUUAAUGCUUUCAUUAAAGUUUAGAAAUAUUAUUUGCCUCACUUCACUUCAAGGAGAGGAAUGGAUGUUCCUGUAGUUUUCUCGAAGAAUCAGAUGGGUAUAAGGUGCUAGGUGUGUAAGAAUCAGUCUCUUAGGCCCAGCUAUGUCAUGGUGGAAGAGAACCAAUGCACUUGGCCUUCCCAUCUGUUUUCUUUUUAGUUUUCCUGAGCUACACUGUGUGGGGAGGGACUGAGAGAGGGACACAUGUGACAGUUUGAGAACAGCAAGAGUCACAAGCAAGCAAAAGCUUGGUAUGGGUGGUGAGGGAGGUGGCCAGAGGUCACCUGGAAAGGAGGGAGUAGUAGAUAGGGCACAUUCGAGGUUGGGCGGGGCCUUUAUGCUCAGUGAGAAGCAUAAGGAGGAAGACAUUGUUCGGUUGCUCAUGCCCAUCACAGUUCUUUGUUGCCUUGGGAGACAGAAGAGAUGACUUUUUGGAAUUUUUUUUUUUUUUUGAGAUGGAGUCUCACUCUGUCACCCAGGCUGGAGUGCAAUGGCACGAUCUCGGCUCACUGCAACCUCUGUUGUCCAGGUUCAAGCGAUUCUCCUGCCUCAGCCUCUUGAGUAGCUGGGAUUACAGGUGCCUGCCACUGCGCCCAGCUAAUUUUUGUAUUUUUAGUAGAGAUGGGGUUUCACCAUUUUGGCCAGACUGGUCUUGAACUCCUGACCUUGUGAUCCACGUACCUCAGCCUCCCAGAGUGCUGGGAUUACAGGCGUAAACAACCGCAUUCAGCCAGAUUUUUUUUUUUCAGAUGAAGUCUCUCUCUGUUGCCCUGGCUGGACUGCAGUAGCGUGAUCUCAGCUCACUGAAACCUCUGCCUCCCAGGUUCAAGUGAUUCUUCCGCCUCAGCGUUCCAAGUUGCUGGGACUACAGGUGCACGCCACCACACCCAGCUAAUUUUGUUUUGCAGUUUUAAUAGAGACAGGGUUUCACCAUGUUGGUCAGGUUAGUCUCUCUUGACCUCAUGAUCUGCUCACCUUGGCCUCCCAAAGUGCUGAGAUUACAUGAGAUUACAUGUACCACUGUGCCCGGCCCAGAUUUGUCUUUUAAAGAUGGGUAUCACUCUGUCAUCCAGGGUGGAGGGCAGUGGCAUGAUCCUGGCUCAUGGCAGCCUCAAGCUCCUGCGCUCAAGUGAUCUUCCCAUUUCAGCCUCCUGAGUAGCUGGGACUGCAGGUACAUGCUAUGAUGCCUGGCUAUUUUUUUUCUUUUUCUUUUAUUUAUUUAUUUGUUUUUGGUAGAGAUGGGAUCUUCCUGUGUUACCCAAGCUGGUCUCACACUCCUGGGCUCAAGCAAUCUUCCUGCCUCAGUCUUCCCAAAUGUUAGUAUUAUAGGUGUGUCUUACCUUUUGGAAAUUUAAAAUCACUUUUUGUCACUUUGAAGCAAAACAUAAGUAGAUUUAAUAAAUCAUAGGAAAAAUGUUUCAUAAAAAAUAAACAUCUGGCAGGGCGAGGUGGCUCAUGCCUGUAAUCCCAGCACUUUGGGAGGCUGUGGUGGGCAGAUCGCAAGGUCAGGAGUUCAAGACCAGCCUGAUCAAUAUUGUGAAACCCUGGCUCUACUAAAAAUACAAAAAUUAAUUGGGUGUGGUGGCGGAUGCCUGUAAUCCCAGCUAUUCGGGAGGCUGAGGCAGGAGAAUUACUUGAACCUGGCAGGUGGAGGUUAUGGUAAGUCAAGAUGGUGCCACUGCACUCCAGCCUGGUGACAGAGAGAGACUGUCUUAAAAUAAAUAAAUAAUAAACAAACAUCUGAGGCCGGGCACAGUGGCUUACACCUAUAAUCCUAGCACUUUGGGAGGCCAAGGUAGGCAGAUCACUUGAGGUCAAGAGUGAUCUACACUCUUGAGGUCUACAAAAAAACUACAAAAAAUUAGCCAGGCCUGGUGGUGGUCACCUGUAAUCCCAGGUACCUGGAAGACUGAGGCAGGAGAAUUGCUUGAACCCUAGAGGCGGAGGUUGCAGCAAGCUGAGAUCAUGCCAUUGCACUCCAGCCCGAGCAACAGAGCUAGACUCCGUCUCAAAUAAAUAAGUAAGUGAAUAAAUAAAUAAACAUCUGCACUAUCACAUGCAACUUCAGCAUUUGAGUGCCUGGAUUUGGUCUUCCUGAUACAGCAUUUAGAUUGAGGUGUCCCUUCUAUGUCAUCAGCUUUCCAAAAUCAGUGUUAAUGUCUCUCAUCUUUGUGGUGGGCUGUGGGAUGGGACUAGCUCUCAAAGGGAGGAAAUGAAUAAUCAAGGGAAAUCACAGUUUUUCCACAAAUAGGUUAUUUUCUUGUCUGUGACUGGUUUUCAGCAUCGUAGGAAGUACCAGGAACCAGACUGUCAAAAACUUGGAUAAAAAUACUUAACAUUUCUUGGUCGGGCACAGUGGCACAGGGUAGAGGUUGCAGUGAACCAGGAUCAUGCCACUGCACUCCAGCCUGGGUGACAGAGCGAGACUCCAUUUCAAAAAAAAAAAUUAUAUUUCUCGAUCUCUAAAAUCCUGAAAGAUAAAUAGGUCCUAGUGACUUUUGUCUCUAGGACUGAGGUACUUCUGCCGAAUGUUCUAUCAGUUCGUGGAAUAAUGAGGGAAUCAUGUUGCUCACACUGUAUAAUGGGCAGUGUGCGGUUGUGAGUCAACACCUCAAAAUGCUGCUGCUGUGCUAGGACAGGAAAUGCAAGUGUGCCCAGCCUUCUUGCUCCCUUGCAAUUCAGUUCAAGGUGAAAUGAUGUUUUUACUCACCGCGUGUUUGCUCUUGAUGGGAGGGGAUUUUAGGCAAGGUUUUACCACUGUCUUUGGGUCAAGCACUCUAAGCAUACUAACAGUGUUUAGUCCUCAGCUGGUUCCACCUGUUACACUGGAGCCCCUUGUACCAUUGUCAAGACCUCUGUGAAACUGUUGCCAAAGGAGGGAGCGAGAGGCUGGGCUUCCUCAGGCUCACAGUCCCUCAAGUCCAAACUUGGCCAUCUGGUCCCUCUCUGGGCUCAGAAUGGCCAGAGGGGAGGUGUAGACAGUAUCCCAGGGUCACCUUCUAUCAUCUCUAUCUUUGAGGCUUGCCAGCAUCCUAUAAGCCACUCCUUGAGGGACUCAGCUUCUGUAUUUGGGGAUCAGUGAGGCUGAGAUGAGGAGAUGGCAUGGGAUGGAGCAAAGCCUCCAGGUUUCAGCUCCCCAGAAGUUCACCAAAGAGAAUGUACUGAAGGGCUACUGCAUUACUCUGUUCUCAUGAUGCUAAUAAAGACAUCCAAGACUGGGUAAUUUAUAAAGGAAAGAAGUUUAAUGGACUCCCAGUUCCACAUGGCUGGGGAGGCUCACAAUCAUGGCGGAAGGCAAUGGAGGAACAAAGGCAUGUCUUACAUGGUGGCAGGCAAGAGAGCUUGUGCAGUGGAAUUUGCAUAUAUAAAACCAUCGGAUUUUGUGAGACUUAUUUACUACCUCAAGAAUAGUGUGGGGGAAACUGCCCCCAUGAUUCAGUUCUCUCCACCUGACCCCACCCUUACAGUUCAAGGUGAGAUUUUGGUGGGGAUGUAGCCAAACCCUAUCAGCUAUUUUCUGGGCUGUGAUAAUAGCAGCACCCAGAAGGUGGAUGUCACCUUUGGAGGAUCUAUGGUUAUUCCCAGGAGGCAGGACAGUUAGUAUUGAAGUCCCACAGCAGCACUUUUAGGGUUCCAAGAAGAUAAAGACGAGGGUCAAGUAAUAAUUGGCAUGGGCCGCGUGGAAGAGGAGAUUGUCAGUGGAUUCUACCCACCAAGCAGGCUGUUGUCCAGAAGAUUUUAGUUUCUGGUUUCAUUCUUGGCGAAGUAACCAAGACAUCCAAAGGCAUGGCCUCAUAGUGUCCAGAGCUGCAUGGGUUCUUCCCAGAAUCCUUGAGCUUUUUGUCACCCAUGCCCCUGCCUCGCAGAGAACAGGAUGGUUACUUCCUCACAAGGUCCUCAUAGCAAUGUAAAAACAUGUUUAUUCAGUGAAUGGAUGAGGAAGAGAAAAGAACUGAGCAAACCAGCCCUUAUUUCUAGAGGCUGGCAGUGGAGCAGCAGAGGCGUCACCUGCCUUGUGUACUGUCUGGCCAGCCAUUAGGAAAUGUCUGCUUAUCGGCCUGUCUGUGAUCUAUCUGUUAUUUAUUUAAUAAAUUGUGGUAAAAUGCACAUGAAAUAAAAUGUAUCUUCCAGCCAUUUUAAUUUUUCAUUUUAUUUUACCUUUUUUUUUUUUGAGACGGAGUCUCACACUGUCGCCCGGGCUGGAGUACAGUGUCGCGAUCUCAGCUCACUGCAACCUCCGUUUCCUAGGUUCAAGCAAUUCUCCUGCCUCAGCCUCCCAAGUAGCUGGGAUUACAGGUGCACACCACCACACACGGCUAAUUUUUUGCGUUUUUAGUAGAGACAUGGUUUCACUAUGUUGGCCAGAUGGUCUCGAACUCAUGACCUCAUGAUCCGCCCACCUCAGCCUCCCAAAGUGCACUUGGUUCAGUGGCAUUAAAUAGAUUCAGUUGUUGGGCAGCCAGCACUGUCAUCAUCUCCAGUUGUUUUCAUCUUGCAAAACGGAAACCCUGUACCUAUUAAACAACCACUCCCCCCAUUCCCCUGCACCUAGCUCCUGGCAACCACCAUUCUAUUUUCUAUGAAUUUAAUGACUCUAGAUACCUUAUAUAAGUGGAAUUAUACAGGGUUUGUCUUUUUUGUGACUGGCUUAUUGCAUUUAGCAUAAUGCCCUCAAGGUUCAUGUUACAGUAUAUGUUAGCGUCUCCUUCCUUUUAAAGGCUGAAAACUAUUCUCUUGUUUUGUCUAUCCAUGCAUCCGUUGAGGGAUGGUUGUGUUGCUUCCACCUCUUGGCUAUUGUGAAUAAUGUUUCUUUUUUCUUCUUCUUGUUUUGUUCUUUUAGAGACAUGUUCUCUCUGUCACCCAGGCCAGAGUGCAGUAGCAUGAUCUAUAGCUCACUGUAACCUUGAACUCCUGCGCUCAAGCCAUCCUCCUGCCUCACGUUCCCAAGUAGUUGGGACUACAAGUGUGUGCCACCAUACCUGGUGACUUAAAAAAAUUUUUUUGUAGAGUCAGGGUCUUGCUAUGUAGCCCUAGCUGGUCUUGAACUCCUAGCUUCAAGCAAUUCUUCUGCCUUGGUUUCCCAGUAUGCUGAGAUUACAGGUGUGAGCGCACCUAGCUGUGAAUAACGUUUCCAUGAGCAUGGGUGUAGAAGUAUCUCUUCAAGUCCCUGCUUUCAGUUCUUUUGGGUAUAUAUCGAGAAUUGGAGCCGUUAGAUUUUAGGAUAUUCCUAUGUUUAAUUUUGUUAGGAACUGCCAUACUGGUUUUCAGAGUGACUGCACCGUUUUAAGGGGAUGUCUCUUGUGCUGCCUCAUGGCAUUAGUCUAGGUAAUGUCUUAUAUAGUUACUUAGGUUUUCUUUUUACUUGCCUUUCCCAUGCUGUUCUCCCUCCUAUGACUCCACUCAUGUUUGAACUGUAUUGCUUAAUAUCUGGCCCUAUGGACAGGUUUGGGAUAACGAAGGCCAGGAAUAGACUCAUUCACACAAGCACAGCGAGCCCAAAUUCUGGAGCUGUUUCUCCUCUCCUCCAGCCCCUUUAGAAAUGUUGAGUUUGGGCCGGACGCAGUGGCUCAUGUCUGUAAUCUCAGCACUUUGGGCGGCCAAGGCGGGUGGAUGACCCUGAGGUCAGGAGUUCGAAACCAGCCUGACCAACAUGGUGAAACCCCAUCUCUACUAAAAAAUACAAAAAUUAGCUGGGUAUGGUGGCAGUUACCUGUAGUCCCAGCUACCUGGGAGGCUGAGGCAAGAGAAUCACUUGAAUCUAGGAGGUGGAGGUUACAGUGAGCUGAAAUCGUGCCAUUGCACUCCCGCCUAGGCAACAGAGGGAGAUUCCAUUGAGAAAGGUUGAGUGUAUCCCUGGGGGCCCCUCGGCAGAGGUCCUCUGGGGAAGUCCCAAGCUGCUGCUCCAGGGAUGAAGCUAGAACCAAACUGGCCCUACUAGACUGGGAGCUCUUGGCCCAGCUGCUCUGCCUCCCUCAACUCCACCAUUCUAAUUGUGAUUAGUAGACUCAUUUGCAUCUAAAAGGAGUAGUUUUCUUAUCAACACCAUUGAGUGGAGAACCAGUGUGCUCCAUUUAUAUAGAGUGGCCCAUUUAAAUCAGGACCCAUUAAGCAGUAAAAGUAAAUGUGGGUGUUUUACAAAUGCAAAUAUAUCAUGCAAAUAAUGUACUUUAUAGUGAAUGAUGCCUUGGUUUUCAUAUGUAAAAUUAGAAACUGUGUAGCACAAAGAUAAUGAUAUACACCUUUGCAUCUGUUCAUGGGAUGUAUCAUAAGCUGUACACAUCUAAAGUUGUAGCCGCGGUUUUAAGCAGAAUUUUUUCAAUAUAUACGCAAACAUGCAUCCCGUAUUAUUAAAAAAAAACAUGUAUUUAUCUAGUUGUUUGUUCCUAAGGAAUCAAGACAUCGCAGAAAAGAGGAAUCCAACUUAUGUAUCUAUUACUAUGAAUGAUGAGAUUUAUAAUUUUCUUUCCAUUUUUAAAGAUUUUUGAGUUUUCAUUUGAGAUGAUGAUAGAAGAUGUGUUUGUUCCUAUAGGCUAGUUUCUUUGUGAGAGAUUUAAUUAUGUUUAUAAGAGAUUUUUAAAAAGUCCUGGCUGGGCAUGGUGGCUUACUCCUGUAAUCCCAGUAUUUUGGGACGCUGAGGCAGGAGGAGUUCUUGAGCCUAGGAGUUCAAGACCAGCCUGGGCAACAUAGCAAGACCCCGUGUCUACAAAAAAAUGCAAAAAUUAGCCAGGCAUGGUGGCAUGCACCUGUAGUCCCAGCUACUCAGGAGGCUGAGGUAGGAGGAUUGCUAGAGCCUGGGAGGUUGAGGCUGCAUUGAGCUGUGAUUGUGUCACUGCACUCCAGCCUGGGUGACAGAUUGAGACCUUGUCUCAAAAAAAGAGAAAAAAAAUUCCUUAGUGUUUGAGAUAUUUCUGUGUGGGAGGUGCAGGUAGCAUUCCCGCUGUUUUUCAGAAUCACUUAGUAGGAUAAUGACAACCAUCUUCCGUGUGCUGUGAACCUGGCUAAGUUCUAAGAGAGGAGUCACCGUUAGCCUCUGCCCACAUGACAUCUGCCACAGUAAGGUGAAACACACACCCCUGUGGGCAGCGAGUUAAAGGUAUAAGGCGUUAUGGGAAGACACUGCAGAGUGCAGUUAAUUCCCAGAUGAGCUACACAGAAGGUAUCUGCCAGAAGGAUUCAGAGGAGGGAGAGGUCUCAGGGUGAGAGUGACCAGGUAAGGUGUCCUGGGUGCCUGGGAUUCAAGUUGAACUUUAAAGGAUGGGUAGGCUGUAACAGGUGAAGAGAAAAAUAGGUGUAGGGUGUUUUUGGCAGCGGAGGGAGAGAUUGGGCUUGGAUGGGCCCGGGAAGCCGCCAGGGUGCUAGUGUUCUGGAGACCUGUGCCAGGCGGGGAUAUCAAGAGCAGAGGGACAAGCUCGGAAGGAACAGGAGGGCUUCUGAGAGGCACCAGAACUGACUGCCUCUCACCCUGCCCUGUAAGCAUUUGUUACAGGAAAGCGGUCCUGAUCCAGACACCAAGAGAGGGUUCUUGGAUCUCACACAAGAAAGAAUUCAGGGUGAUUUCACAGUAAAGUGAAAGCAACUUGAGUUAGAAAGUAAAGAAACCAAAAGGCUACUCCAUAUAUAGAGCAGUCCUGAGGGCUGCUGGUUGCCCAUUUUUAUGGUUGUUUCUUGAUUAUAUGCUAAGUAAGAGGUGGAUUAUUCAUGCCUCACCUUUCUAGACCAUAUAGGGUAACUUCCUAAUGUUGCCAUGGCAUUUGUAAACAGUCAGUGGCGUUGGUGGAGUGUAGCAGUGAGGACGACCAGAGGUCACUCGUGGCCAUCUUGGCUUCGGUGGGUUUUGUCGGCUUCUUUACUGCAGCCUGUUUUAUCAGCAAGGUCUUUGUGACCUGCAUCUUAGGCCGACCUUCCAUCUCAUCCUGUGACUUAGAACGCCUUAACCAUCUGAGAAUGCAGCCCAGUAGUUCUCAGCCUCAUUUUACCCAGCUCUUAUUCAAGAUGGAGUUACUCUGCUUCAGACGCCUCUGACACAUUCACACUUCUGUAGCCACCAAACUCAUCGGAUGAAGACGUAUGUGGAGACUUGGUGUAUGAGACACAUGAAAAAUGAGGUGCGUUGUUGACAUUGGGCAGCUCCGGUAAUACCAGUCCCCCACCCCAGAUAGCACCCUGGGCACCUCUCUAAGUUGGCAAACCCAGGGGACGGCGCCUGAAGAUGCUGUGCUUUGAGAAGGCUGUUGAGGGGUCAGGCAGGGCUGCCUGCUGUGGGCAGAGAGGCCUAUUAGCAUGCAGGAGGGGACAUCUUAACUUGAGCUGACCCCGGGCAGCCCAGGAGUAGAAACAGGAAGGGAAAGUGCAGGAGCCCUCAGGAAGAAUGCAUGGGCCUGGAUAGACUGGAUAGACGUGGAUUGGAGGCAGGGGCUGGCUGAGGAAGGUGUCAGAGUCUCCAGAUUUUUUUAUUUUCUUUUUUGAGACAGAAGCUCACUCUGUUGCCCAGGCUGGAGUGCAAUGGCGUAUCUCAGCUCACUGCAACCUCUGCCUCCUGGGUUCAAGCGAUUCUCCUGUCUCAGCCUCCCAAGUAGCUGGGACUACCAUGCCCAGGCACGUGCUACCACACACCCAGCUAAUUUUUUUUAUUUUAGUAGAGACGGUUUCACCAUGUUGGCCAGGAUGGUCUCAAUCUUCUGAUCUUGUGAUCCACCCACCUUGGCCUCCCAAAGUGCUGGGAUUACAGGUGUGAGCCACCGCACCCGUUUCUAGAUGUUUGCCAAGGGUGAGUCCAUUGUUUUCUUUAUUUUAUUAUUAUUAUUUUUUGAGAUGGAGUCUUGCUCAGUCACCAGGCUGGAGUGCAGUGGCACGAUCUUGGCUCACUGCGACCUCCACCUCCCGGUUUGAAGCAAUUCUCCUGCCUCAGCCUCCCAAGUAGCUGGGACUACAGGCAUGUGCCACCAUGCCCAGCUUUUUUUUUUUUUUCCCUAGUAUUUUUAGAAGAGACGGGGUUUCACCAUGUUGGUCAGGAUGGUCUCCCUCUCCUGACCUCGUGAUCUGCCUACCUCGGCCCUGCAAAGUGCUGGGAUUACAGGCGUGAGCCACUGCACCCGGCCCUGUUUUGUUCUUUGAGGAAUGCUGAAUUAAAGGAUAAACUUUACUUCCCUUGACGGACAUGUGUGCCAGCCGGGUUCCAGGCACUGCCAUAGGUAUUAGGGAUUCAGGAAAAGAUAGUGCACAGGUGUUUCGAUAUAGCCCAGAGACUGUGCACAUGAAAGGGAGUCAGCCUCUGUCUGGAGAGAAUUGUGCCCCUUCCAUUCAUAUGUUGAUGCCCUAACUCCCAGUUCCUCAGAAUGUGCCCUUACUUCCAGUGUGCCUGUAUUUCCAAUAAGGUCCUUGCAGAUGUCAUUAGUUAAGAUGAGGUCACACUGGAGUGGGGUGGACCCCUGAUUCAACAUGACCAUGUGCUUGGAAAAGGGGGAAUUUGAAGACAGAUGCACACACGGAGAAUGCCGUGUAGAGGUGAAGGCAGGGUGUUGCUUCUACAAGCGGGAGAACGCCAGCAAACACCAGCAGCCACCAGGGAGGCCAGGAGCAGGUUCUCCCCGACAGGCCUCUGAAGGAUCCAGCCCUGCUCAUCCCUUGGUCUUGGACUUCUGCCCUCCAGGACUGUGAGAGGAGGAAUUUCUGUUGCUUACAUCCCCCAGUCUGUGGUACUUUGUUAUAGCAGCCCCAGCAAACGAAUACAGACACUGAUGAAUCCUGGGCAACAUGUUGAGCGUGCCCUGGGAGGCAGAGGGGAAGCUGCUUUCGGUUUGCGCAGCUGUGGGGGCUAGGAGCAGCCGAAAGCUGCUCUGUGUAGAGCCCUCUGGAGAUACCCUCCAGCAUCUGGAAACAAAAUCAGCUGGUGGGGAAGAGGAAAACCCAGCCUCUCCAGGAACUCUCCUAGGAAAAGAGCAUGAGGAGAAAAGAGGGGAGGGCUAGAACCCCAGGAACACCCUGAUGGUGGGGCCGAGCCUGGACAAAGAGCUAGCAGACCAUCUGGAAAGAACAGUGGGAGGGGCAGAACCUGGGCCAGGAGGGUGUUUUGUGGCUCAAGGUGGAAAGGAGUUUUAAGAACUAUUGUCUAAAGCAAUAGGAAGUUUAUGUAACCCAGAAAGAGGCCUCUUAUGUGAGUGCCUGUGGGAGGUCAUAUGGUGGGGACGGGAGAGAGGCUGAGUGAAAUCAAGGACAGUGACCCCUUGUCUUAGUCUGUGUGUGCUGCUGUCACAAAGUGGGUAAUUUAUAAAUAAUAAGAAUGUAUCUCUCUCAAUGGUGGAGGCUGGAAGGUCCAAGAUCAAGGCUGCGGCAGGUUCAUUGUCUGGUGAGGGCUGCUUGCAAGAUGUCCUCACGUGGCAGAAGGCAGAAAAGGGGGCGACUCCCCGUUUAAGCCCCUUUAUGUGGGCAUCUAAUUCCAUUCAUGAGGAAGGGGACCUCGUGGUCUAAUCACCUUUUAAAGGCCGUACCUCUUCAUUACUAUCACCAUAGCAACACCUGAAUUUUGGAGGGACACAUGCAAACCAUAGCUUCUGGGGAAUUGGGUGACCCCGUGACCCCGGCAGGAAGAGGAUCGUGGUGGUGACAUGAGGGAGUGGAGUCUGGGCUGUCCGUCCCAUUCUUUUGGGCUUAGCAAGUGCAGGGCAGAAUAAUGGGAGCCAAAAGGAGGACUUGGACCCCAAUGAUGAUGAAGAUAAGAAAUCAGCCAGAUGUGGUGGCUCAUGCCUGUAAUCCGAGCACUUCAGGAGGCCAAGGCAGACGUAUCACAAGGUCAGGAGUUUGCGACCAGCCUGACCUACAUGGUGAAACCCCAUCUCUACUAAAAAUAAAACAAUUAACUGGGCAUGGUGGCACACACCUGUAAUCCCAGCUACUCAGGGGGCUGAGACAAGAGAACCUCUUGAACCUGGAAGGCAGGAGUUGCAGUGAGCCGAGAUUACGCCAUUGCACUCCAGCCUGGGUAACGAGUGAAAUUUCAUCUCAAAAAGAAAAGAAAGAAAUCAUCAGUCCUGGGAAGGGGGAAGUGAGUAGCGACAAGGUGUAGAAGAUUCCAGAGGGAAAGAAGGGUAAUAGAGAUGUUCCUUUGACGAGUAAGAAGAUGAACACGCAGGCAGAAAUAAUGGAGCCAGUGAACUGAGGCAGAAGGAAGGGCAUGUCCUUGCUUUAGGAAAGAGGAGGUGACGGUCCUGCUGAAAUGUGGGGAGGGAGGUUUGGGACUUGAUGAGUGGAGAGAUUGGGGGCAGCUUACCUGGGUUCUCAUUUGGGAGCAGUUUUAUCCCCCAGUAGAGGCACAGCAGUAACUGGAGACAUUUUCGGUUGUCACAGCUGAUGAGGUGGGUGCCACUGGUAUCUAGUGGCAGGCCAGGCAGACUGCUGAGCAUCUUACCAUGCACAGCAUCCCAGGACAAGCACUAUCUCGUCCAGAGUGUCAGUAAUGCUGAGGUUAAGAAAUCCUGGCAGAGCAGUGGCUCAGGCCUGUAAUCCCAGCACUGUGGGAGGCCAAGGCAGAUGGAUCACCUGAGGUUCAGAGUUUGAGACCAGCCUGACCAACAUGGAGAUACCCAUGUCUACUUAAAAAUACAAAAUUAGCUGAGUGUGGCAGCACAUGCCUGUGAUCCUGGUUACUUGGGAGGCUGAGGCAAGAGAAUGGCUUGAACCCGGGAGGUGGAGGUUUUUGUGAGCUGAGAUUGUGCCAUUGGACUCCAGCCUGGACAACAAGAGUGAAACUCCAUCUCAAAAAUAAAAAAGCAAUCCUGCCGUAGGUCAAUAGCAGUUCUCCAACACGUUCAAGGAAUGAAGCCGCAGCUUCAUGGCAUGCUUUGGGGAAUGUGAAGAAACUUCAGUAUAUUUAAAACAACACAGUAAGGAUUGCAGGAAGAGCUGGUGUGAGUGGCCAGCCACGGAUUUGCAUUGCUGAGGACAGGACCCCUUGGCAGCAAAGCAGAAUGGCAGACGUGCAGGGACUGCUGGAAAUACUGGAGAGGACUGUCAGCUGCCUGGAGUUGCUGUCUGCAGAGUCCCACAGGCCCCCUGGUGACUGUGGGGUCAGAGGUGUCAGUGGAGGUGUGGAAGCCUUUGAUAAGCUGAUGAACAGCAUGAUGGCCAAGUUUUUGAAGAACAAUAGGAGCCUUGCUGGUGACUUGGAGGCUCGUGCAGAAAGGGUGCCGGGGGCUUUCCUUCUGAUGGCAUCUCAUUACCAACAACCCCAAGAGAAUACGUGACCACAUUUUUGAAACCCAUAUCGGGAAAAAUUCAAAAAGCCCAAACUUUCAGAGAGAAAACCGAGGAAGUAACAUGUUUAGUCAUCUCUCAGCUGUCAGCAAGUCUCCCUGCCCUUGACUGUGUAGCCGCGUCCCCCAAAUCUGGUCCUUACGUCAAAGAGACACGUGAUGCUGCCACCUUUUACACUAACAGCGUCUUCAAGGGCUACAAACACGGGGUUUACGCCGUGUAGAUUGGGUGAGGUCAUAUGUGAAUAUUUGGAGUGAGUUUCAAGCACACAUCAAGGAGCACCACACCGUGGGCCUCACGUGGAGCAGAACGGGUCCUGCAGCGCCCACAUCACUGCUUUCUGUUGUCUCCUGUGGCCUGGCCUUUCUCCACAUCCCCCCCCCCCAGGGCCCCUCCACUUUUUGAGAAUGAAGACACAAAUGAAGAGUCAUCUCCUUCAUGCUCAGCUUUAUUUGCUAGGCUUAACCAGGGAGAAGUGAUUACGAAAGGGCUCUGGCACGUCACAGAUGACCAGAAGGUCUUUACAAGAAUCCCAGCCUGCAGGAUCACACAGGGCAAACUGCAUCUCCCCCAGAAGCCAUAUCCAAGUCCCGAAUCUCCCAAACCUCAUCCUUUCCAGAAACAUGCACUCAUGUUCAUGUUGGAAGGAAGUAAAUGAAGAGGAGGGUGCCAAGAGGACUGGAAUGACUGUGAUUUCAGAGACUGAGCUGAAACAAGUGGCUUACAUUUUCUAUUUUCCUCCCUUCCUUCCUUCCUUCCUUCCUUCCUUCCUUCCUUCCUUCCUUCCUUCCUUCCUUCCUUCCUUCCUCCCCUACCCCUCCCCCUUUCUCCCUCCUGCCUCUCCUCCCCUCCCUGUCCCUUCCAGUCCCAUCUGUCUCACUCUGUCACCAGGCUGGAGUGCAGUGGCACGAUCCCAGCUCACUGCAACCUCCGCCUCCUGGGUUGGGUUCCAGUGAUUCUCCUGCCUCAGCCUCCCAAGUGGCUGGGAUUACAGGUGUGUGCCACCACGCCCAGCUAAUUUUGUAUUUUUAGUAGAGAUGGGUUUUCCCCAUGUUGGUCAGUCUGGUCUCGGACUCCCGACCACAGGUGAUCUGCCUGCCUCAGCCUCCAAAAGUGCUGGGAUUACAGGCAUGAGCCACCGUGCCUGGCCUAAUGUUGUAUUAUAGUCUGUUUUUUCCUUUUCUGCCCGCCAUACUUGCUAACCAGUUGCAAAAAUAAAUGUGAGAAAAGCCAUAGAUGUAUUACUUCUCCUAAAAUCUAAGGAACUAUUUGUUACUUUGGUUUUCUGCUCUGAUUUUGUAGUCUUGAUAGUACAUGGUUUUUCUUUUUGGAGACAGCGUCUCUCUCUGUGCCCAGGCUGGAGAACAGUGGCAUGAUCUCAGCUUACUGCAACCUCUGUCUCCCAGGUUCAAGCGAUUCUUGUGCCUUGGCCUCCCAGUACUUGGGAUUAUAGGGCCAUGUCACCAUGCCCAACUAAUUUUUGUGUUUUUAGUCCAGACAGGGUUUCGCCAUGUCCACCCGCCAACUGGGAUUACAGGCGUGAGCCACCAUGCCUGGCCCCAUGUGUUUUCAAUGUUAAGAGACUAUGAUAGUCCUUUGUAUCUUUUCAGUACGUAGUGUUGAAAAAUCUGCAACUUCUUGGAUCACAUUUAAUGAAUUAUAGCAUAGUUCUUACAGACUCAGUGCAAGCAUGUAUAUAUAUAUCUCCAAAGCCUGUAACAGGUGUAUUGUACCUAUUACAGCCUUUGAAGUAUGUCAUUUCCAUUUUUAAAGUAUCUUCCAUAUCUGUAUAGUAUUUGGGUUAUUAAUGCUCACAUACCAGGGUUUUGCUAUAAAAGUUGUGUUCAUAUAAUGUUGAUAGUAAACAUCAUUUUCAACUGUAAACUUAUUCUGAAAUAAAAUAGAAUUCUAAUUGUUUAAAAGGAAAAUAAAAUAGCACAGUGUAUCUGGUUCCGGAGCAGCUGCCACCUGCCAGAUUCUCACGGGUCCUGGUGGUAAUGGCACACAGGAACUACGUGCAGGCUUAAAUCUUUGAAAUCAGUUUAGUCUCCAGUUUCAACAUUUGGCCAAGUUCACAGAGCAAUUCCAUUUCUUUCCAUGAUUGGUGUAUUGCUCUCGCUCAGAGUAAUCUUGCCACACUCUCAGUUCUAGUGUUUGUGGGCCUAGCUUGUGUUUGUGUGAUCACUUCAGUCACGCCCUCUCAAUAAUUGUCAGCCUCUGAAUUGGCCACUGCUGGUAGAUUUCUGCAUGGUCUCUUUCUGUCUCCUGAUUUCGUGCCCAUUUGGAUCUUUGCAGGAUUCUGCAUGGAGCUACCUUUUUUUUUGUUUUUUUUUGAGACAGGGUCUUGCUCUGUUUCCCAGGCUAGAGUGCAGUGGUGCAGUCAAGGCUCUCGGGAGCUUUGGAACUCCUGGGCUCAAGCAAUCCUCCCACCUCAGCCUCCUGAGUACCCGAGACCACAGGCACAUGCCACCAUACUGGGCUAAUUUUGUGUACUUUUUUUUGUAGAAUAAAAAAAGUUUUAUUUUUAAUGUCUCCCAGUCUGGUCUCAAACUCCUGAGGUCAAGUGAUCCUCCUGCCUGGACCUCCCUCAGUGCCGAGAUUACAGGUGUGAGCCACCAGAGUUACUUUUUUUUUUGAGCAUUCUUUAGAGUAAGUGACAUCACUGAAGCUGCCUCUCGGCUAUUUAGUAACUGUGGCUACUUUGGACUGAGAAACAUUUGCAAUUAGAACAUCUCAAAGAAUCCUUAAAGGAAAGAGGAAGAGAAAAGUGCAGUUACCUUAUCCGUCUCAGGAAUGGAGAAGAGAACCCAGUUGGGAAGUGCUGGUGCCCCCCUGACAACUGCCACAGUGUUGCUGUAUGGCUUUGAGCGUGUCAGUCAACUCUGAACUGCAGUUUUCUUACAAUCAAGACUACCACUGGGCUGGGCACGGUGGAUCACUUGAGGUCAGGAGUUUGAGACCAGCCUGGCCAACAUGGCGAAACCCUGUUUCUCCUAAAAACAAAGAAAUUAUCCUGGCAUGGUGGCGCGUGCCUGUAAUCCCAGCUACUGUGGAGGCUAAGGCAGGAGAAUUGCGUGAGCCCAGAUCACACCGCUGUACUCUAGCCUGAUCGAUAGAGAAAGACUCUAUCUAAAAGAGGGAAAAAAAACCACCUCUGGGAUUUUUGCAGGUUAGAAAGCAUUUUUUCCUGCCCAUUCAUCUCAUUUUAUUCUCACACACUAGAUAUUAUCAUUUGCCCCCGGCUUGCAGGCCUGGAAUUGAGACUUUAACAAGUUAAAAGACUUUCUGUCUGUGUUUAAACAGAUUUCCUGAGUCCAAAUCCCAUGCUCUCUCCACUCCAUCCUGGAUUAGACUCUGUGGCCACAGAGAUCCCUUUAAAUUGCCAGGACACUCAAGCUUAUUAUUUGGAAGGUUAGAAAAGUGUCCCUGAGAAUCUGAACUUUCAUCUGUGCUCCUCGUGAUGCUUCUCAGUGAGUGGUAUUUUGUGAAGCUUCCCACAUGUGUCUCUGUCCAGCCUGCUCUGGUUGCUGCAUUGCAAAUGCCAACGACUGACAUCCUUCACCCAAAGAGCACCUGUGACCGUGUGGCAUAGGUCACAUUUGCUUUUCUAUUAUUUCCUGGUGAUUAAUCCCCAUUUAUAAGGCAAAACAAUUGAAUUUCAGGGACAUUUCUCCCUUUGUUACAACUGCUUGGACUGUUACAUUCCUGGGGAAACAUAGUCUGGUGGUAGAUGUCACCCAUCCAAAGGGAUUGUCAUCACAUUCCAUCCCCAGCACUAAGAUUAUGAAGGGACUCUGCUCAGUUGCUUAAGAGUAGUGGGUAAGCUCUGGCCUUCAUGAGUGCUAAAUCAGGAUGGGCUGGUCUUGCCAAACCCAUUUUCUCCCCCUACCGCCUCCCCUUCGAUUUGGGCUUUCUGCUUUUCUGUGUGCUGUGGACUGUUGUGGCAGAGAGCUCACCGUGGGGGACAUUCAGAUAUUGUUCCUUUCUUCUCACCGAAAACACUAGGCUUUCAUUCACUUCUUCAGAGUUCUUCUUAUGAUCUUUAUCUCUGCUUUCUUCCUCCUCCUAUCUCCCUCCUUCCUUCCCUACCUUCUCUUUUUAAUACAUUAACAAAAUUUUUUUAGGUUGAAGUGGGCAGAUCAUUUGAGCCCAGCCUGGGCAACAUAGUGAGACCCUGUCCUCCAGAAAGAAACAGAAAAACAAACUUGGCUGGGCAUGGUGGUACGCAUCUGUAGCCCCAGCCACUCCAGGGACGGAGGCAAGAGGAUUGCUUGAGUCCAGGAGGUGGAGAGAGACUGCAGUGAACCAAGAGUGGCACUCCAGCCAGUGUGACAGAGCAAGACCCCGUUGCAAAUAAAAAAAAAUUGUGGUAAAAUACAUCUACCAUAUCAUUUACCGUAUUAACUGUUUUUUAAGUAUGCAGUUCUGUAGUUAAGUGCAUUCACAUUGUUGUACGACCAACCUCCAGGACUCUUCAUGUCUUGUGAAACUGAACCUCUGUACCCAUUGAAUUCCCUACUCCUCCUUCCCACUAGCCUCUGGCAACCACUGUUCCAUUUUCUGUCUCUGUGAGUUUGACUACUACCUCUUCUAUGCGGAAUCAGACGGUAUUUGUUUUCUUUAUUCCGGCUUAUUUCACUUAGCAUGCUUUCAAGGUUCAUCCGUGUUAUAGCAUCCUUUUCUUUCUUUUUUUGAGACGGAGCUCACUCUAUCACCCAGGCUAGAGUGCAGUGACACAAUCUUGGCUCAUGCAACCUGCACCUCCUGGGUUCAAAUGAUUCUCCUGCUUCAGCCUCCUGAGUAGCUGGGAUUACAGGUCUGUGUCACCAUACCUGGCAAAUUUUUGUAUUUUUAGUAGAGACUGGGUUUCACUGUAUUGGUCAGGCUGGUCUUGCACUUCUGAUCUCGUGAUCCGCCCACUCUGGCCUCCCAAAGUACUGGGAUUACAGGCGUUAGCCACUGUGCCCGUCCGUUUUCUCUCUUUUAGAGAUCCUAGUUCACAUUUGGCAGGUGAGAUCUUAGAAAAAAGUCCUUUUAAUUUAUUUCUCAUGGAGACCCACAGAAAGUUUAGCUGGUGAAUACAGGUGUGGGUCUUGGUUUAUAAUGCAGCUGUUUCUCACAAUGGUUAAGGCUCCUGAGUGCAGAAAAAACACAUGAUGGAUCACGUCAUCUUCCUGAGAGUCACCCUCAGGCUGUCGGACCUUGUUGACUCAAGGGAUCCCCUUGGGAGCUGGAGGUAGUGCGGCCCAGAGUGUGGUGUCCGGGGAAUGACUGAGGGCUGGAUCUCUGGCAGCCACCGGGUGUGCUGUUCAGGACGGUAUCGCUCACCUCUUAGGAAUUGCAAGCCCAGCAGAGGAACAAUCAGCUGAAUCGAUGUUCUCAAAUGCCAGGUCGCGCUGUGUCUUGCUGGCCAGCAAGGUCCCCUUAACCUGUCGGACUGCUUUCUUUGUUACAAAGUUGGUGUGGCUUAUACUGCUGAAGGUCAUGGGAUUUUUGUUAGCAUAUUAUUGAAAUGAGACAUUUGUGGCACCGGCGUUCUCUUGUUUCUGCUCAUAUGAGCCCGCGUGUCUUUCACAUCUGGUUAGUCUGAUUGCUUUUUCUAGCCUGGGACUUUGCCUUGGAGAGAGUCUAGCAAAAUACCAUUCACAGCCUUCUUCCAUGCGGAAGGAUGACUAAGAGUUUAGUGCUGGAAGAGCAGAAGAGGAAAGCUGGAAGGUUAGAAACUAAAUCGGAGCUGUCGAUGUGUAUGUCUCUAUGGUACAGUGGGCAAGCCCUGGUCUUGUCUUGGGUUGAUCACUAACUAGUCAUGCAGUGUCUUGGGCCAGUCCUUUUGCCUCUCAGGACCUCUGACUGUCUCCCUAUAGAACGGGGAAGGUGGUCAGGCGCAGUACCUCAUAUUAUCAGGGCUUUGGGAGGCUGAGGCGAGAGGCUCACUGGGAGGCUAGGAUUUUGAGACCAGCCUCAGCAACAGAGCAAGACCCCGUCUCAAUUUUAAAAAAUAAUAAAGAGAAUGGGUGGAUCAGGCAUGGUGGCUCACCCCUAUAAUCCCAGCACUUUGGGAGGCUGAGGCGAGUGGAUCACUUGAGGUCAGGAGUUUGAGACCAGCCUGGCCACUGAAAUCAGUUAGUGAAACCCGAUCUCUACUAAAAAUACAAAAAUUAGCCCAGCUUGCUGUCAGGUGCCCGUAAUCAGCUACCUGGGUGGUUGAGGCAGGAGAAUCACUCGAACCUGGGAGGUAGAGGUUGCAGUGAGCUGAGAUCAUGCCACUGCACUCCAGCCUGGGCUACCAAGCAAGACUCUGUCAAGAAAAAAAAAAAAAAAGAAAGAAAGUGAUUUCUGCCCUGCCCAACCUGCAGAAUUAGAGGAUUCCAUGGAAAAGGGCUGAGGACUUUGCUCGGUGAGUGUGAACUGGAUCCUAGGAUCAAGCAAUGCAAAUGCCAUUUUAAGGUGAUCCUGCAGAAUUAGAGGAUUCCAUGGAAAAGGGCUGAGGACUUUGCUCGGUGAGUGUGAACUGGAUCCUAGGAUCAAGCAAUGCAAAUGCCAUUUUAAGGUGAUCCUGCAGAAUUAGAGGAUUCCAUGGAAAAGGGCUGAGGACUUUGCUCGGUGAGUGUGAACUGGAUCCUAGGAUCAAGCAAUGCAAAUGCCAUUUUAAGGUGAUCCUGCAGAAUUAGAGGAUUCCAUGGAAAAGGGCUGAGGACUUUGCUCGGUGAGUGUGAACUGGAUCCUAGGAUCAAGCAAUGCAAAUGCCAUUUUAAGGUGAUCCUGCAGAAUUAGAGGAUUCCAUGGAAAAGGGUUGAGGACUUUGCUCGGUGAGUGUGAACUGGAUCCUAGGAUCAAGCAAUGCAAAUGCCAUUUUAAGGUGACUGAGACCCACUCGGGGUUAAGAAGGGGUCCUCAAGGUCAUUUCUCAAGGCAGUGACAUUUACAUGGCUGGGUAUGGAGAGCACCCUAUUCUUCCUCUGCACCCCUCACUCCCGCCCUCCCCGCACUUGAGCUGCCUGAGGAUGGGUGGUUUGCAACUCCUCCCACGAAGACUUCUAUCACUGGUUUUGUCUCUGAAUUACUGUGGUGAAUAGACAUUUCUAAAUAAUUCCAUGUACUAUGUGUGGUUUUAACAGACUUUGAGCUUUAAAGGCCAACCAUCCAGGGACAUGAUGGGGGAAAAUCAAACUUGUUGCCUUCCCAACCUGCAGCCACUGGAGACAUACCCAUGAGUUUGGCUAUGGGCAUCGCUGGUCUCAUUAGAUAGAGUCAUAGGAGUUUGGAGCCAGGUAAGUAUGACAGCAGGUUCUUAGAGGUCAUAAAAUAGGGUUUUUAAUUUUCUUUUCAAGUCUUUCUCAACACCAAGCACAAUUCUCAACAGGGGCUUAAUAAAUCCUUGGAUCUUCUAACAGUUGGAAGAUGUGAUUUUGAGGAACCAGCCAAAAGAAUCGUGUAAAUAUGGGGCCAAAGAGCUUGAAAGCUUUGCAGUUAGCAUGGCAGGAACUGACUUACCUCGAGCUGGAAAGAGACCAUGUGCGAAUUCAUCAGUUACAACAGGGGCCAGGAAAGAGAAGGUGAUGGCCAGUCCAAGUCUCUCUGCACUGCUAGAGUACAGAUAAGUUCCGCAGCAACAGGGCUUGACUAUAGAGGACUCUUAAAACAUCACUGAUCAGUGAUUUAAGUACAUUGAAAGGAUGUUGUAAGAUUCUUUAGGUAGAUGUCUGUCAUACAGAGAAUUUUCCAUAUCUAAACCACUGGAUUUAUCUGACCUUCAUUCCCCAUAUUGCUCCAUCCCUGGUGUCUACUCAGUUUUCAGCCAAAUCAAGGUCGGGAUAAAGAAGAGAUUUGGAUGGAAGUAAGGUGGAUAUUCAGGCUCCUGCAGUGAUACUCAGUUAUUGAAUUCUCUAGAAACACCAACUCUGCUAUAAUGAAGUCCUCGGUUUUUAAAUAUCUUUACAAAUCAGGUGAUUCCAUAUUGGCAACAGCCAGCUUGCUGUUUCCUGCUUUGUUAUAAAAAUAAGACGGUAAAAUCCUGAGAGCUUGCUUGGAUUGUUAAAAGAUCUUAAGUAUUUUAAUGCACAUUAUUCUUCAUGCAACUCUGAACCUUAAAUGCCCCAAAAGAGAGUAAGAUCGGAAUCCAAUGGAAGAGCAAUCAGCUGGUGUCAUCAUCCUGAGACUCCAGUCCUGUCUGCUGUUACCCUGGGUAGCUCCUGGCCACUCUGUGGUCACAACUGCCAGGCUCAGAGUCAGAGUUGCAGGCAAUAUCAUAACUGAGAUGCGUGAUUCUCAUUUAAUUUUAGUAUAGUGGAUCCAAAACAAAAUAAAACAAAAAGGUUCGUUAACAUCAAAGUUUGUAGUAUAUAUUUUCUAGCACAUUUGACAUGAUUUUGAUGUGUGAUCGAUCGUAUUUUUGUGCCCUAGUUAAUUUCUUCUUCGUCCCUACUCCUCCUCAUCAACCUGCUGUACUAUUUGUACCUCCAGUAAUGAGAUUCCGGUGGGCAGAAUGUGUCAUGGCAUUUCUGCUUGCUGUCCUAGAUAACCAGAGACCCUGGUUGACUGGUGAAGUAUUUACCAUAUUGUUCUUCAGAUUCCUGUGUGUGUGUGUGUGUGUGUGUGUGUGUGUGUGUGUCUGCUUCUGCCAAACUUACAAACGUAUUAUUCGAACCUAUGUUUCUCAUAUUGAAGGUGAUUGAUAAUGCAUUAACCAAUACAAUUUGCCAUGUACCGUUUUGGUGAUAGUAAUUUAUACUGCCUCUUGGGCUGGAUGUAGUAACAUUUUUGACUAAGGACUUUCUAACAUUAAUCUAAACCAAUCUUUCAUUUAGAAUAUAACCUACUUGCCACUCUAAGGACAUUUUACUAAGACUGGCUUGGUUAUAAGGUUUUCUACCAGAUGUCUUAAAAUAGUGAAAACGCUCAUCUAUAAAUGCAGUAAGUGUCUUCGUCACAUAUUGAUCUUUCCGAUUUUCUUGUCUCUCCUGUUACCACAGUGUAGGUGGUAACAUAUCUGCAAAAUGUUUUAUAGGGUAUGGAGUGCAACAUUUUAAGCCAAGAAAUUGAAAACAGGAUACGAAACAAGAGAAGAGGGGGAAGGAGGAAGUCGACCAAGGUCAUCUCCGUAUAUUAAGGAUUUAGUGGUAGAAAUGCCAAGAAAGGCAAGUUUGUGUUUGUAGCAGGCAGAUGGCACAAGAAAGUGUUGGAAAACCCACUUAGUCUCAGAAAACGUAAUUAGGAGUUCUUUGCCAUAUACGUUCAUGAAAUUAUGAGCAGGUUAGCAAAUAUUCUUAAGUUACAUGCUAUGCCAUUAAACCACGUGAAUUUGCCAUUUUGUAUAUCUGUAGGUGAUUUCAGUGCCCAUCUUGAGCAGGGUCAAUAUGAUAAGCAGAAUACUCACGGAUAGCGUCUGCACUGUGAAAUAUGAAACCUGUUUACAAUAAAGCAAACCUCAUGGUUUUCAAAGAUGCGUUUUCAGAGGGUGUCAGUAACACAUACUUGGGGAAAUGUUUUGAGGGAAGUGUGGGGAGGGGUUGCAGGUGUGUGAGUGCAGAUGAACUUGGCCUUAUGCUAGUUUCUCUUCU